rnacentral:rRNA from 1 species
GUCCACACUGUAAACGAUGAAUGCUAGGUGUAGGGGCGAUUUCGCUUCUGUGCCGCAGUUAACACAAUAAGCAUUCCACCUGGGGAGUACGGCCGCAAGGUUGAAACUCAAAGGAAUUGACGGGAGCCCGCACAAGCAGUGGAGUAUGUGGUUUAAUUCGACGCAACGCGAAGAACCUUACCGAAGCUUGACAUCCCAGGAAGACUGCUGUAAUGGCGGUUGUGCCCUUCGGGGAACCUGGUGACAGGUGGUGCAUGGUUGUCGU